GAUGAACGCUAGCGGCAGGCUUAACUCAUGCAAGUCGAGGGGUAUAGGUUUUCGGACCUAGAGACCGGCGCACGGGUGCGUAACGCGUAUGCAAUCUACCUUUCACAGAGGGAUAGCCCAGAGAAAUUUGGAUUAAUACCUCAUAGUAUAGCAGUUUCGCAUGAAACCACUAUUAAAGUAUCAACGGUGAAAGAUGAGCAUGCGUCCCAUUAGCCAGAUGGUAAGGUAACGGCUUACCAUGGCUACGAUGGGUAGGGGUCCUGAGAGGGAGAUCCCCCACACUGGUACUGAGACACGGACCAUACUCCUACGGGAGGCAGCAAUGAGGAAUAUUGGUCAAUGGACGCAAGUCUGAACCAGCCAUGCCGCGUGCAGGAUGACGGUCCUAUGGAUUGUAAACUGCUUUUGUACGAGAAGAAACAACAUUACGUGUAAUGUCUUGACGGUAUCGUAAGAAUAAGGAUCGGCUAACUCCGUGCCAGCCGCCGCUGUAAUAC
rnacentral:rRNA from 1 species